rnacentral:tRNA from 2 species
GGGCCUGUAGCUCAGCGGUAGAGCAGUGGACUUUUAAUCCAUUGGUCGAGAGUUCGAAUCUCUCCGGGCCUACCA